AUUGAACGCUGGCGGCAGGCCUAACACAUGCAAGUCGAGCGGAUGAAGGGAGCUUGCUCCUGGAUUCAGCGGCGGACGGGUGAGUAAUGCCUAGGAAUCUGCCUGGUAGUGGGGGAUAACGUCCGGAAACGGGCGCUAAUACCGCAUACGUCCUGAGGGAGAAAGUGGGGGAUCUUCGGACCUCACGCUAUCAGAUGAGCCUAGGUCGGAUUAGCUAGUUGGUGGGGUAAAGGCCUACCAAGGCGACGAUCCGUAACUGGUCUGAGAGGAUGAUCAGACACACUGGAACUGAGACACGGUCACAACUCCUACGGGAGGCAGCAGUGGGGAAUAUUGGACUAUGGGCGAAAGCCUGAUCCAGCCAUGCCGCGUGUGUGAAGAAAGUCUUCGGAUUGUAAAGCACUUUAAGUUGGGAGGAAGGGCAGUAAGUUAAUACCUUGCUGUUUUGACGUUACCAACAGAAUAAGCACCGGCUAACUUCGUG
rnacentral:rRNA from 1 species